rnacentral:tRNA from 1 species
GCACUUAGUAGCUCAGUAAAAAGAGCGUCG